CCUACGGGAGGCAGCAGUGGGGAAUAUUGCACAAUGGGGGAAACCCUGAUGCAGCGACGCCGCGUGAGUGAAGAAGUAUUUCGGUAUGUAAAGCUCUAUCAGCAGGGAAGAAAAUGACGGUAACUGAUUAAGAAGCCCCGGAUAACUACGUGCCCAGAGCCGCGGUAAUACGGGGGGGGCAAGCGUGAGCCGGAUUUACUGGGUGUAAAGGGAGCGUAGACGGCAGCUCAAGUCUGGAGUUAAAGGCCGGGGCUGAACCUCGGAACUGGUUGGGAAACUGUGCAGCUAGAGUGCAGGUGAGGUAAGUGGAAUUCCUGGUGUAGCGGUGAAAUGCGUAGAUAUUAGGAGGAACACCAGUGGCGAAAGCGGCUUACUGGACUGUAACUGACGUUGAGGCUCGAAAGCGUGGGGAGCAAACAGGAUUAGAUACCCUGGUAGUC
rnacentral:rRNA from 1 species